CCUGGCUUCUUCUCACAUUUGGUUUCCUGCCUGAUAGUCCUCCUUCCUGGGAUACCCUUCACUGAUCGAAAUUUCUCCCGGGCUUUAAGCCAAGAUCAACCAACAUCCAGCACAUCAGACGAGUCCUUUCUGCCUCUACCAGCCUUCAGGGAUAAACCACUUUUUGAAACAUUGACUCGGAGGUAUUUCUCUACAUUUCAGCCUUUAAUGGUGUUUUGAUGUUCUGUGCCUUAUCAGCAAUGUUAAGGAUUAAUCAUCCUGUGAUUGAUCACAGCUUGGACAGUGGCCUGGCUUCAGCUCACCACUGCAGAUCUUGCUGACUCAGUGUGAAUGAUGAGAUCUCUGUCCUGACAGGCAUGACACUGCCACAUGAAGCUCUCCUUAACCUGGCUCCAAGCAUCUCAGGCUUAAGCUAGGAUGCAGCAGGGCUAAGAAUGGAAGACGGGAGGGAAAGGAAAGAAGAUCCUGGGCAAAAACGGACAGGGAGUGAUUCCAGACUAUAUUUCUGGCAGAAAGUCAGAGCAGCAAAAGCGAAAUCAUAUUUUGAGUACCAACUGGCACCGCUUAUCAUCCAGUUCCUUGGAAUUUCUCCUGAAAGGUUUUUGCUGCUGCUUCUAAUAAGAACUAGUCAACUUGCCCAGUCAAUAAUGAAGAGAUUCAUAUUCUCCUAUUUGAUGGGAAGUUUGAACAAUGACAACUCCAUGUCUCGCUUCACAGUUACACAAGGAUAAAUGAUUAAGCAUAAGCCCUAAAUUAAAACAGGCCAAACCAAAUAUUUAAGAAAUUUCUUCCAUCGAUCUUUUAUUAUUUAAAGAAAAGAUGGUGAGUUUUGGCUGGAACCUUGUGGUCAACUAUUUUUUAAACGAAUAUAGAGUUGGGAUAGCAGCUUACUGAUAUUUCAGAUUUUUUGAGAUCUGAGUCUG
rnacentral:lncRNA from 1 species